CAGCAGUAUAAUACAGAGAUGUAGUAAGUUAACCCAACAGCAGUAUAAUACAGCGAUGUAGUAAGUUAACCCAACAGCAGUAUAAUACAGAGAUGUAGUAAGUUAACCCAACAGCAGUAUAAUACAGCGAUGUAGUAAGUUAACCCAACAGCAGUAUAAUACAGAGAUGUAGUAAGUUAACCCAACAGCAGUAUAAUACAGCGAUGUAGUAAGUUAACCCAACAGCAGUAUAAUACAGCGAUGUAGUAGGUUAACCCAACAGCAGUAUAAUACAGCGAUUUAGUGAGUUAACCCAACAGCAGUAUAAUACAGCGAUGUAGUAAGUUAACCCAACAGCAGUAUAAUACAGCGAUGUAGUAGGUUAACCCAACAGCAGUAUAAUACAGCGAUUUAGUGAGUUAACCCAACAGCAGUAUAAUACAGCGAUGUAGUAGGUUAACCCAACAGCAGUAUAAUACAGCGAUUUAGUGAGUUAACCCAACAGCAG